rnacentral:rRNA from 1 species
GUGAGGAAUAUUGGUCAAUGGGCGCAAGCCUGAACCAGCCAUCCCGCGUGCAGGAAGACGGCGCUAUGCGUUGUAAACUGCUUUUCCAGGGAGAGAAACUUGCGCACGUGUUGCGCAAUUGACGGUACCCUGGGAAUAAGCAUCGGCUAACUCCGUGCCAGCAGCCGCGGUAAUACGGAGGAUGCGAGCGUUAUCCGGAUUCAUUGGGUUUAAAGGGUGCGUAGGCGGACUAUUAAGUCAGUGGUGAAAUCCGGCAGCUUAACUGCAGAACUGCCAUUGAUACUGAUAGCCUUGAGUUUGGUUAAGGUAGGCGGAAUGUGUAAUGUAGCGGUGAAAUGCUUAGAUAUUACACAGAACACCAAUUGCGUAGGCAGCUUACUGAGCCGACACUGACGCUGAGGCACGAAAGCGUGGGGAUCGAACAGGAUUAGAUACCCUAGUAGUCC